AUGAACGCUGGCGGCGUGCCUAAUACAUGCAAGUCGAGCGAACAGACGAGGAGCUUGCUCCUCUGACGUUAGCGGCGGACGGGUGAGUAACACGUGGAUAACCUACCUAUAAGACUGGGAUAACUUCGGGAAACCGGAGCUAAUACCGGAUAAUAUAUUGAACCGCAUGGUUCAAUAGUGAAAGACGGUUUUGCUGUCACUUAUAGAUGGAUCCGCGCCGCAUUAGCUAGUUGGUAAGGUAACGGCUUACCAAGGCAACGAUGCGUAGCCGACCUGAGAGGGUGAUCGGCCACACUGGAACUGAGACACGGUCCAGACUCCUACGGGAGGCAGCAGUAGGGAAUCUUCCGCAAUGGGCGAAAGCCUGACGGAGCAACGCCGCGUGAGUGAUGAAGGUCUUCGGAUCGUAAAACUCUGUUAUUAGGGAAGAACAAAUGUGUAAGUAACUAUGCACGUCUUGACGGUACCUAAUCAGAAAGCCACGGCUAACUAGGUG
rnacentral:rRNA from 1 species